GUGGGGUAAUGGCCUACCAAGGCGGCGACGGGUAGCCGGCCUGAGAGGGUGUACGGCCACAUUGGGACUGAGAUACGGCCCAGACUCCUACGGGAGGCAGCAGUGGGGAAUAUUGCACAAUGGGCGCAAGCCUGAUGCAGCGACCCCGCGUGGGGGAUGAAGGCCUUCGGGUUGUAAACUCCUUUCGCUAGGGACGAAGCUUUUUGUGACGGUACCUAGAUAAGAAGCACCGGCUAACUACGUGCCAGCAGCCGCGGUAAUACGUAGGGUGCGAGCGUUGCCCGGAAUUACUAGGCGUAAAGGGCUCGUAGGUGGUUUGUCGCGUCGUCUGUGAAAUUCUGGGGCUUAACUCCGGGCGUGCAGGCGAUACGGGCAUAACUUGAGUGCUGUAGGGGUAACUGGAAUUCCUGGUGUAGCGGUGAAAUGCGCAGAUAUCAGGAGGAACACUGAUGGCGAAGGCAGGUUACUGGGCAGUUACUGACGCUGAGGAGCGAAAGCAUGGGUAGCGAACAGGAUUAGAUACCCUGGUAGUCCAUGCCGUAAACGGUGGGCGCUAGGUGUGAGGGUCUUUCUACGACUUUCGUGCCGUAGCUAACGCAUUAAGCG
rnacentral:rRNA from 1 species